AAUGAACGCUGGCGGCGUGCUUAACACAUGCAAGUCGAGCGAGAACGUUUCUUUCGGGAAAUCAGUAAAGCGGCGAACGGGUGAGUAACGCGUAGGAAUCUACCUUUCAGUGAAGAAUAACUUUGAGAAAUUAAAGCUAAUGCUGCAUGCGUCCUUUUAAGGAGAAAGAUGGCUUUUAUGCUGUCGCUGAGAGAUGAGCCUGCGUACUAUUAGCUUGUUGGUGGGGUAAUGGCCUACCAAGGCAAUGAUGGUUAACCGGCCUGAGAGGGUGUACGGUCACAUUGGAACUGAGAUACGGUCCAGACUUCUACGGAAGGCAGCAGUGAGGAAUAUUGCGCAAUGGGCGAAAGCCUGACGCAGCAACGCCGCGUGAAGGAUGAAGGCUUUAGAGUCGUAAACUUCUGUUAAGUGGGAAGAAAUAUCUACCUUUAAUAGAGGUAGAGAAUGACGGUACCACUAGAGAAAGCACCGGCUAACUUCGUGCCAGCCGCCGCCGUAACAC
rnacentral:rRNA from 1 species